ensembl:lncRNA
UGAUUCUCGGAACCAGAUGGGAAACGGAGGUGGGGCAACACGGAAGCCAGCCAGCUCCCUUCACCUUGGCCUCCCUGCUUCCCAACCAGCUCCUCACUGCUGGAGGCGCCAUGUCCUCCCAGCCUGGCCCAAACCCUGCCCUCCCUCUGGCUCCUACUGCUCUUUUCUAUGCACCUCGUGCUCUAGCCAAAGGAAACCACCUCCUGUUUCCUGAAUGUUCCCAUGCUUUCCCGGAGCAUGCCUUGUUCACGCCUAUUCUUCUGCCCACUGAAAUCCUACUUGUCCUUCAAAGCACAUCUCCAGCGCCAGAGUCUUUCUGAAUCUGCCCAACCAGACGUCAUUUCCUCCUCCUCCGACCCCUGUCCUCAUCCGAAGCUUCUCCACGUCUAGUUAGAAAUGCACGUGUCUCGUUCUCCCUGAGUGAGUGUGAGCCCCGUGAAGGCAGGGGGGUGUUUGAGCUCACAUUCCAUUCCUCUGUCCUUCCCAUAUGCGAGGCCUCAUUCUAGGAUCUGGAGAAAUAAAAAUGGACAAGGAAUUGCCCCAUUCUCCUGGAGCUCAUACUUUGGAGAUUUCGGUAAUUACAAUGCUGUUGGGUUAGGACAAUGUACCCCCAGCUCUCAAAUUCACAGACUCUGUUCACUGGAGGCCCUCUAGGAACACAGGAGCCUGACCUCUUCUUUGCAAACUCUGAAACUUCUCGAAACUGAGAAGAAGACUCAUUCUGCACAGGGUCAAUGGACCCGGGUAGGAUGCCGGAGGGGAGCCCACCUUUCCAGUGGAGAGGGAAGAGAGCAACGUAAAAUGACGCAGAGAUGAGCAAUUCAGUCAUGGAAGCAGAAUCAGUAACUUACCCAUGUGAUCACUGGGGAGACCAAGAAGCAUGCAAGUCUCUCUGCUCCCUGGUUCUUCUUCCGUGUCAGAUGCACAAACAUUUGUUCAUCAUCUGUGUCCUUCUCUAGAAAGCUGUUUUUCUUAGUUGGAAAGGAGCUAGCAUUCAUUCGUGCCCGUGAGUUUCUCCUUUUGGCCUGAAACUCUUGCCUUAUCUAAGUGAUGGUGACAUUUUAGGUGUCGUGUGUUGGCUAGAGAGAGAGACGUUUUCGAGAAGGAGGUAUGAAACUGGUCCAGAACGGUUCCUGCCAGCGCUUGGAUUUCACACCACAAAGGCAACCCGGGACUCUGCUUUUGUAAAAGUCACCGUUGGCACUCAGACCCACUGACCAGGCUCCAUUUCCUGCCAAAGGGGAUUUGACAUAAAAUUAGUGCAACCUCAUUUCAAUCAAUUUUAACCAAUAUUUUUAUAUUCUAAAGCACAAUAUCUGUAAUAUCCUGGAAUAUUGAACAAAAAUGAAAUUUUGGCUUUGGUUUAUACACGUAAGCAUAGAGCAAUUUGGCGCCUUUCUGUUUGGUUUAAUUGCAUUUUUACAAAUAUAAUUUGAUCGCAUUAGAAUAGAUUUGUAAAAGGACAGAUUAGGAAAGACGAGGAUGGCAAGGAGUGAAUAAACCGGGAGAUUGAAGAAAGCUGACAUCAGAAUCGUAAGCACUAUAGUCUACGAGGCAAUUCCUCAUAAGUACUUCAUUUGAGGCUUAGAGGACAUAAGCGUUAUCCGACCCAUUUUAUAGAUGGGAACACUGGGGUGCGGGGGUAUCUGGCUUUCCACGAGGACUUGAAUUUUUAUAGAUGCCAUACUUAGUGCCUAUGCCAUACUGCCUCUCGAAGGAGGUAGUGAGGGUAGAGGCGGACAGGAGACGGGUGCCAACAAGCUUGAGGUGAACACAGAGGGUGCUGGCAUUGGGCCAGCAGGAAACAAAGCCAGAACUGCUGCUGACCAGCUGCCAGCACAGCUGUUAUAACUGCCACACCUCUCUGUGAAGGGCCAAGUGGGCCGGGCUGGCCUGGGCUAUCCUGGUCUGCCUUCAAACCCAGGCUGCAGCCUGCUCUCUGUGGACUUGUCCCAUUGCCCCAUCACCGGGAAAACCAGGAAAAGAUAUUGCUGUCCCCUAAGUGCUGAGAGACCUCCUCCACCUCCACCCCUGCCUCCCGCUUCUGACCUUUUCACCCCAGAGGCACCCUGCAGUGCUCUGCAAUAAAGUUAUGGAUUAUUCAGUGACCGUUCCCCUGCUCUGCUCCUGCUGGCUGACAUUGCUGACCACUGGGCCCUGAGCUGGGUCAGUGCACAGUCUGGAGUGAUCCCUGGUGACGCUGGGAAAUGAACCUACGACCUCUUCUUGCCGAGGGUCAGUGAACUUUCUGGUGGUGCACGGGUCCAUCAGAAAAAAGUCAGCAGGGCCAGCCGGGAAAAGUGCUGACAACUGUGGGCAUUUGCAAAGCAGCCUCCUCACACGGAAGACUGAUAGCUAUCUGUCCUUAUCUCAGCUUUCCCAGCUUCCACAGCCCGGCCCUUUACUUUGAAUAAGCAAAUUGACAUUGAGGUCAUCUUAAAUUAACCAAUCAUAUUCCCCAGGUCAUUUUCUCAAGGAAAGAGUUGAACCCAAAGAAGGGUGUGUAUCCUUUGAAAGGAUCAUAAAUCUAUGCUUCUCUUGGUUUUUCUUUCCAUUUUUCUCUUCCCUGUGUUACGUAUGCUUUUAUACUCAUCCUAUUGUCUUUCAUUUAUAUUUAUUUUUCUAUUUGUAUAUUUAAUUGAAUAUGUAGUCAUACUCUCCUGAUAUAUUUAUAAAUACUACCCUACUUACACAAAUACUAUGUGUUGAGGUACGUGCUCAGAGCUGUUACACAUACAAGGAGAGGUCUUUGCCCCUAGGAGAGUCUGGUUUGAUCAGGCAGCUAGAAUACACGCACAAACAUCCACGCGACAGAUAGGAUGCAAUAAAUAUCACAAAAGGGACAUGAAGACAUUGCUAUCGGAGUAUAGAGGAGAGUAAGUCCGUGUUCAGACUGGACCCACUUUCAGACGAAGUGAUCAGGGAGGCUCAGGAGGUAUGACAUUUGGUCCAUGAACUGACCAUUGAUGACUGAGGUGGCCUGGCACUGGGUUCUUUCGCAGGGUCUGGUGCAAAGUGACACCUCACACAUUCCAGGUAGAAAGAGCAGCGUGAAUAAGAAUGUGGACACAGUGAAUGACAAGCAGCCUCGUUUUCCUUCACUGUUUCUUUUGGCAAAUGUUUAUUGAGCAUCUACUGUGAACCAGGCAGGCAUGGCUCUAGGUGUUGAGGAUCCAGGAAUAAAAUAAACGCACACAGUUCCUGCUGUCACUGGCCUUACCUUCUGGUGGCAGGAGAAAGACACUCAACAAAGAAAACUAUAACAUACCAGGUGGUGUUAGGCACUGAAAAGAAACGCAAAGCAGAAUACAGGGGCAGAGAGUGACAAGGGAAGUGUUAUGUUAAAGAGGGUAGUUGGGAAAACCAUUCUGACAAACCAAAACUUGAUGGAAGAGAGAGAGGCCGCCAUGCAGAUUUCAGGGGCUGAAACCCCAAGGCAGAGGGAAUAACAAGCGUGGAGAGAACACACUGGGUGUGUGUGAGGAGCACAGACGAGCCAAAGGGGCAAGUGUUUGAGGGGGUGAAGUACAGGGGACGAGGCUAGAGAGAGCGUUGGGAUCACAUCCUGUGGGGCUCUGCACACCGUGGUAACGACUUGGUACUUACUCUGACCACUUUGAGCAGAGCAAUGACAUGAUCUCACUCAUACUUCCAGAGGAGACUAGACUGCAAAGUAGGCUGAAGCUGGGAGAUGAGCUAAGAGUCCUAUAGUUUUCCUUUUCCUGGAGCAUGGUGUACAGAUAUUGUGCAUACGGAACUAGUUUAUUUUUCCAGGAAAAAAACCUGGAGGAGUAAUUUGGAACCAGAACAUGGAGGUUCUGCCUUGCGAGCCAAGCCAAUGACAUUUUUGGAGACAGCGAGGAGCCAUUGGAAGAGUUAAGCAGCUAAGUGCUAUGAUUGUUAUUUAGCUUAGAAAAGCUAAACAGGGCUCAGAUUCUAGGACUUGAGGGGUGUGGGUCCUGCUUCUGCCAGUCCCCAGCCCUGAAAUCUUGGGCAACCAUUGAACCACCCUAAACUUUAGUUUCACCAUCUGUAGUUUAUUCAUAUGCUCCUCUCCUCUCUAUACUGCCAAGAGUUAUUAUGAAGAUGAUGUGAUAGGAAUAUAUAUGAAAGCCUUCCAUAAACCAUGACACAGAGAACCAUAGCAAGGAUGAUGAUGAUGGUGAUGGAUUGAAAAGGGGUGCCUGGAUGAAGACUUAUUGGGGAGCUGCUGCCACUGUCCAGGUGACCUGGACAGGCCUGAGAUGAGGUGAUGGGAGUGGGAAUGGGAAGGAAAAAGCAAAUGUCAAAGACAUUGCAAAGGAAGAAUCUACAGCUCUGAGGGAUGGGCGGUGAAUACUCUGUAAGUGCUAUAGUUAGGGUCAAACACUCAAUCCUGCAGCCUGCUGGGAGACUUGUGAGUUCUCAUGCAAGGUUAUAGUUGCCACCAUGGGCUUGCUGCAACGAUGGGCAGAGGGAUAAACAUGGAGGAUCAAAGGCUGGCCCGGUGCAGGAAGGAGCAGCAGAAGAUACACUGGUAUAGGAGAUGUGGGAAUAACUGUCAGAGAGGGAAGAAACCAAAUGAAAAUUGUAGCUUGGGAGAGGGGGCAAAGAAAGGCUGUACAGAAGAUCCCUGGUGAGGUGAGAAAUAUGACAGCUUGGAUAUGAAGAUCAAGGAAUAGGAAAGACUCCAAUGUCAGGGGUUUUAAUAUCAAAGACAAGAAGUGGGAUGAGAGGUAUCAGAAAUGGGGCCACUGGGAAGGGAGGUAGUUUUAGGAGGGAAGAUGCUAAGUUUGGACAUUUUCAGCUUACAGUACCAUCAGGACAGACAAUGAGAGCUAUCUUGUAGGCAGUUGGACACAUGAGAUGGGGCUCAACACAAGUUGAGUUGGUUGAAUUGACUAUAGACACGUAAGGGAUUAAUGCUUGUAAUGAGGGUUUAGAUGGAGUGGGAGAGUAAAUGAAAGGUCCUGGGAAGGAGAUGGGCAGAGGGAAGCGUGCCGAAGAUAGAGACCUGAAGGCACCCACAGGUAAGGUAUGGAAGGAUGAAGAUGAAGGGAGAUGCAGAGGUGACAUAGCAUCAGACAGAGAGAAAGGCUGAGACAUGGAAGGCAAAGGAAUUAUUUUUAAAAGGAUAUAGUGGUCAGAAGUGUCCAAGAUCAUUAUAUAUUAGAAUAUUACUCAGCCGUAAAAAGAUGAAAUCUUGCCAUUUUUGACAACAUGGAUGGACCUGGAGGGUACUAUGCUAAGCGAAAUAAGUCAGACAGAGAAAGCAAAUUCUGUACUAUUUCACUCAUAUGUGGAAGAUAAAAAACAAACAAACAAAAAACAAACACAUAGACACAGAGAACAGAUUGGUGGCUACCAGAGGGGAAGAGUGGGUGGGGGGAGGGCACAAGGGUAACGGGGCACAUUUGUACGAUGAUGGAUGGAAAGUAGACUUCUGGUGGUGAGCAUGAUGUAGUGUAUACAGAAGUUGAAAUAUAAUGAUGUACACCUGAAAUUUAUAUAAUGUUAUAAGCCAAUGUGA